rnacentral:rRNA from 1 species
AGAUCAUGUGAUCUGACUGUGCUAAGGUAGCAUAAUAAUUAGUUACUUAAUUGGUUUCUGGAAUGAAAGGCUCAACAAGAGACACCCUCUCUCUUCCCUCUUUGAAAUUGAUCUGUAGGUAAAAAAGCCUAUAUUUUCUAGGAGGACGACAAGACCCUAAAACCUCUGUAGAUUAUACCAUCUCUUCACUGGGGCGGUGGACCAUACUAGCAUGGUUUAUAACAACAUAUUGUAUGAUGUUAAACACCCUGGCAAGUGCCCAAAAAGGUACUUUAGGGAUAACAGCACAACUUUUAUUGAGAGUAAACUUAUCAAUAUAAAAGACUGUGACCUCGAUGUUGAAUUGAUAUUACGGCACUGAGCAACA